rnacentral:lncRNA from 1 species
UCUUUUCUUCGCAAUUUCAAACUAUGUUCAACCAUCUUCAAUAACCUCUUCAUAUAUAUGCCGACAUCAAUCUGGAAAACAGAGGGGGAGGAGUAGUGUGUGUAGAGAAGAAAAAAAGUGGGAAGGAGGAAGGUGAAAGUUGUUCUAUAUAGAGGAAGACUGGGAGAUGGAUUGUUGCAUUGGAAUGACAGGACUGCCAUUAAUGGUAGAAACAAAUAAGGGUCAUGGUGGUUAAAGGAGGAAAUAUGAAAAUGGUGAGAACAAAGAGAAAGAGG